UUUUAGGGUCGCGCCAUGGCCCAGCACGAAACCUACGGGAACUGGAUCGGCCCCAAGCGCCUCCAGCGGCAGCCGGGAAUUUACUCCGUGGCCGGGAAGAUUCCCCCACUGAGCGACUUCAGACCGGCGUCUCCCGAGAGCUUCGAGGACGAUUACGACGACG